AUGUUUAAGCUUCCCAGGGCUGCACUGCCGUUCCAAACAACCCCAGUUACUCUGCAGGCUGUGUGGCACAGCAGGCGUUCUACAGCUUCACCUGGGUGCACAUCCUGGGCUGUGGUGUCUUAUCACAGGAUCACACAAUAUUCUGAUUUGGAAGGAAACCCAAAAGGAUCAUCAAAAUCCAACUCCUGGCCCUGCACAGGACACUUCCGAGAAUCACACCAUGUGCCCCAUGAGUGCUUUGGAUAUGAGAUUGCCAGUUUCCUACACUUCCAUAACUUCAGUUUUAAUUCUUCAUAA
rnacentral:lncRNA from 1 species